AAUUUUUAAUAACGGAUCUCUUAAUUCUAAUAUCGAUAAAAAAUAUAGUAAAAUAUAAUAAGUAAUAUAAAUUAUAGAAUUUAGUAAAUUAUUAAAUCUUUAAACAUAUAUUAUACUUAUUAAUAUUUUAACAAAUAUAUUUAUUCGAACGUUA